rnacentral:tRNA from 1 species
GGUGGCGUACCCAAGUGGCCUAAGGGGGCGGUCUGCAAAACCGUUAUCAUGGGUUCAAAUCCCAUCGCCACCUCCA